rnacentral:tRNA from 1 species
UCUAGUAUGGCAGAUAAGUGCAAUGGAUUUAAGCUCCAUGUAUAAAGACUAUUUCUUUUAUUAGAA